UUAUUCUUGCUUUCUGUUUUG
rnacentral:piRNA from 1 species